rnacentral:tRNA from 1 species
UCUAAAGUGGUGCAACAGGUAGCACACAUGACUAGUGAUCAUGAUGUCGCAGGUUCGAAUCCUGUCUUUAGAA